UUUUUUAAUAGAUUGAAUGAUUGAUAGAUUUGGAGAUAACAUUUCAAAAAUAAAUAAACAUUAAUUUGGCUAUUGUUUUGAAAUUUCGAAUGUAACUUUUUUUUAGAGAAUUUAGGCUUCCUAUACACCAAAAUGGUUGAAAUUAGCAAAAUAGCCGAUCUCUAUUUCCGCUACCGUGCACUUUCUUUUAAUACGAUAAUAACCCUACCUCUAAAUUUGUCUACAUAAUCCUAGCUUAGAUUUACUGUCAGAGAUAUUAUCACACAUCUCAUACACAACUAUCAUUAAUUAUCCAACCAUUUCACUAUGAACUCAUCUUUCUUAGACACACCUACCUAUGAGCUCAUCUCUCUCUUCUUAUAAUAUUUUCACUUCCGAUUGCAACGACCUUCAUCAAGAAAUGACUCAUAAUCUGAGAUUUCUACAUCAUUAAUUUCAUAAUCGAUUUGAAAGAUUUACGCAGUUUGUUUAGCAUAUAUAUGUAUUUAUGAAACCAAAUUUAUGUUUACUCAAUCAAAUUGCUUUUGUUUGUAGAUGGAAGAGAUGCAGCGUUUUGACCGCAUGUUCACAACAGGUGAAGAACCCAUAGGUGAUAGAAUAAACACAUAUCACAAAUCCAGAAGAAUCAAAACUAUUCUUGAAGCGUUUGAACCCAUAUGUGGAAGAAUCCAUCAAAUCCAAUUAUAUGUAGAAGUCCGUGAGUUUGAUCUGGAAUGUCAGCUUUUCACUUAACCCCAUUAUGUGUUAGGCUGAGGUUUAUUUCCAGAUGAUGCAACGCCAAGUGAAGCCGAUUUUGGAUGGGAUAAUGAGGUCAAGGACGACGUCGACAGCAUGGUUCACCUUAGCGAGGAAAGACUUAUCUUCGAGAAAGCGAUGUUUGUGUGUGUGGGGGGGGGGGGGGGGGGGGGGGGGGCUCACAGCAGUUGAUCUGAAAAGAAGGAAAGAGACUGCCAACUUAUACUGACGCAUCCUAUGCACUCACCAUCUGGCCAACCUUGUGGCUGGCCUUGUGAAUCAGAAAGUUGACAAUUUUGUUAACUACGAACACAUAUUUUACUGGCAUUCUUUAAUAUUCAUUAUUUUCUAAUCUACACAGUUAUUUGUGUUAGUAACACUAUGAUGAUGUUAGUCGCUAGUACCAAAUGUUUUUAUUUCAGCUAAGUUUACUAGUAACUGCUAUAGACACUUUUAUAUAUGACAUUAUUAUUGUUAACUGCUAAUAAAUAUCUUACAAAUA